CGUCAUGAAAGUCGGUAACACCCGAAGCCAGUGGCCUAACCUUUUGGAGGGAGCUGUCGAAGGUGGGAUCGGCGAUUGGGACGAAGUCGUAACAAGGUAGCCGUACCGGAAGGUGCGGCUGGAUCACCUCCUUUCUAAGGAGCACCACGAGAAACACUCCAAUUGGUGGGGUGUGAGCCGUGAGGGGUUCUCGUCUGUAGUGGACGAGGGCCGGGUGCACAACAACAGGCAAUC
rnacentral:misc_RNA from 1 species